UCCCUGGUGGUCCAGUGGUUAGGACUCAGCUUUCACUGCCUAGGGCCCAGGUUCAAUUCCUAGUCUGGGAA
rnacentral:tRNA from 1 species